rnacentral:rRNA from 1 species
GAUGAACGCUAGCGGCAGGCUUAACACAUGCAAGUCGAGGGGUAACAUAGAAAAGCUUGCUUUUCUGAUGACGACCGGCGCACGGGUGCGUAACGCGUAUACAACCUACCUUUUAGCGGGGAAUAGCCCAGGGAAACUUGGAUUAAUGCCCCAUAGUAUAUAGACUUCUCCUGAAGUUUAUAUUAAACAUUUAUGGCUAUUAGAUGGGUAUGCGUCCUAUUAGUUAGUUGGUAAGGUAACGGCUUACCAAGGCAGCGAUAGGUAGGGGUCCUGAGAGGGAGAUCCCCACACUGGUACUGAGACACGGACCAGACUCCUACGGGAGGCAGCAGUGAGGAAUAUUGGACAAUGGGCGAGAGCCUGAUCCAGCCAUGCCGCGUGCAGGAAGACUGCCCUAUGGGUUGUAAACUGCUUUUACAGAGGAAGAACCACCCCCACGUGUGGGGGUUUGACGGUACUCUGCGAAUAAGGAUCGGCUAACUCCGUG